CUCAGUGCUAAUAAAGGAGGUGUGGCCUCUGUGUCUUAGUCCUAAUAAAGGAGGCGUGGUGUCUGUGUCUCAGUCCUAAUAAAGGAGGCGUGGUAUCUGUGUCUCAGUCCUAAUAAAGGAGGCGAGGUAUCUGUGUCUCAGUCCUAAUAAAGGAGGUGUGGCCUCUGUGUCUUAGUCCUAAUAAAGGAGGCAUGGCCUCUGUGUCUCUCAGUCCUAAUAAAGGAGUGUCAGUCAGUGACAAUAUGCUAUUUCUGUGCGCAUGGUGCAGCUGCUGUAAUAAAUCGAGGUGACUGGACUCCUCCCGAAGAGGAC
ensembl:lncRNA